rnacentral:rRNA from 1 species
UUCCAGACUCCUACGGGAGGCAGCAGUGAGGAAUAUUGGUCAAUGGUCGGGAGACUGAACCAGCCAAGCCGCGUGAGGGAUGAAGGUACAGAGUAUCGUAAACCUCUUUUGUCAGGGAACAAAGGCGGGGACGCGUCCCCGGAUGAGUGUACCUGAAGAAAAAGCAUCGGCUAACUCCGUGCCAGCAGCCGCGGUAAUACGUAGGUGGCAAGCGUUAUCCGGAAUGAUUGGGCGUAAAGGGUGCGCAGGCGGAUGUAUAAGUCUGAAGUAAAAGCCAUCGGCUCAACCGAUGUAAGCUUUGGAAACUGUAGAUCUAGAGUGCAGGAGAGGACAGUGGAAUUCCAUGUGUAGCGGUAAAAUGCGUAGAUAUAUGGAGGAACACCAGUGGCGAAGGCGGCUGUCUGGCCUGUAACUGACGCUGAGGCACGAAAGCGUGGGGAGCAAAUAGGAUUAGAUACCCCAGUAC